rnacentral:rRNA from 1 species
GAUGAACGCUGGCGGCGUGCCUAAUACAUGCAAGUCGAACGCACAGCGAAAGGUGCUUGCACCUUUCAAGUGAGUGGCGAACGGGUGAGUAACACGUGGAUAACCUACCUCAAGGUUGGGGAUAACAUUUGGAAACAGAUGCUAAUACCGAAUAAAACUUCGUAUCGCAUGAUACAAGGUUAAAAGGCGCUACGGCGUCACCUAGAGAUGGAUCCGCGGUGCAUUAGUUAGUUGGUGGGUAAGGCUACAAGACAAUGAUGCAUAGCCGAGUUGAGAGACUGAUCGGCCACAUUGGGACUGAGACA